rnacentral:lncRNA from 1 species
AUAGAUUAUAAGCCAUAUCUCCUUAGCACAAUCCAGAAUUUCACUGUCUCUAGACCAGUGUUUAUGUUAAUUUCUCAGCGUUGAGAAUCUCCAUGCUAAGUGCAUGCUAUAAAUAUGGACUCACAGAAAUUUCUCACAAACUUUUUAUUCUUCCCUAGAGUCCAGCCAGGAAUAAGCUCAUCAGAAACAACCAGAUAUUCCUGUCUCUUCUCUGCCCUAGUGGAUAGAUUUUCAUUACUCAUUUCUCUCUGAUCCUUUUUUUGAGGGUCAUUCUUUGCAGAAUAUAGGCUUUAUGUAGUAUUUUCUGAUAUUUUUGAAGUUUGGAAGUACCGGUCCCUAGAUAAUAUUUUUUCAUGUUCCAAUAAAUCACUCACAGGGACAUCCAAAGCCCAAUAGAAAAAAUGGGCAAAGGGCAUAAACAGCUUGGAGAAAAAGACACACCAAAUAUCUUUAAAUAUAUGAAAAGAUAUUCAUCACCAUAUAUAACAAAAUAAAUGCAAAUGUGAGAUGUGAGGCGCCAUCGUACAUCAGUAAGAUUAAGAAAAAAGUCCAAAAGCUUGACACGUGCUUUGUGUGUCGGUCAGCAGAGCAAGAGACGUUCGUCACAACGCUGAGCAGUCUGUCAAAUGCUGCAGUCUCUAUGGAGGUCCGUCCGGUAGUAGUUUGCAAAAAGUUACUUUACGAUCCAAGGAGCCCACUUCUAGAACUUAAUCCUACAGAUGGAUUUAGAAAAGUUCUCGGUGAUGUAUUUACAAGUUUAUAUACUGCAGCAACCUGUAAAUGAUUGCUUCCCACACAAAGGAAUACCAGGCACUAUUUUUUUUUUUUUUUGCUCUUUUUGCCUUUUCUAGGGCUGCUCCCACGGCAUAUGGAGGUUCCCAGGCUAGGGGGUCUAAUCAGAGCCGUAGCCGCUGGCCUACACCACAGCCAAAGCCACGUCUGCAACCUGCAUACACCACUGCUCACGGCAACGCCGGAUCCUUAACCCACUGAGCAAGGCCAGGGAUUGAACCUGCAGCCUCAUGGUUCCUAGUCGGAUUCAUUAACCACUGUACCACCAUGGGAACUCCAGCCAGGCACUAUUUUAAAAGCCCAAGGUAGUUUCCAUGUAUGGAAGUGGAAAUAUAUCUAAGGCAUGCUUUUUACUGAAAAAAUAACAAAUCUCGUAAGACUGCGUAAAAAGGUAGGCCACCUUUUGUGUGUCAAGGAAGAACAAAUGUACAUUGAUAUGAGCUUAUUAUUAUCCAGGAAACACUGGAAGGAUCCUAAUAAAUUAGUAGUAAAGUGCAUUAUUUAUAGGAAGAAGGGGAAAUGAUGGAUGGGGGUGGGGUGAGAAUAAAACAUUAUACAGUUUUAAUUUUUGAAUGAUGUACAUGCAUUAUCCCCUUAAAAAUAAAAUAAAAUAUAAAACAAUAACAACAAACCAUUAGCCCCUACUUGCUAAUUCUUUUAUAUGGUCAGAGUUCUUUGGGCUGCUCUGAUGCUUAUCAUUCUGGCUUAAAUUUUUUCUUGAUUUCUUUCUUUAUUCUUUUCUUUUCUUUUUAAGUUAAGCGACUUUUUAGGGCCACACCCAGGGCAUAUGGAGGUUCCCAGGCUAGGGGUUGAAUUGGAGCUGUAGCCACUGGCCUACACCACUGCCACACAAACGCCAGAUCCGACCCACGUCUGCGAUCUACAGCACAGCUCAUGGAAACACUGGAUCCCAAAGCCACUGAGCAAGGCCAGGGAUCAAACCUGCAGCCUCAUGGAGGCUAGUCAGAUUCUGCUGAGCCAUGACUGGGACCUCCUCUCUUGAUUUCUGACAUGUGGGAUUUAAUUUUUUUCUCUCGUGAGCUGAGCUACGUAUUUAAAACUUUUAAAAGGUCAUAUCCAACCUUAAUCGUGAGUUUGCAGCAGGAGAGAUGCUUGAGUUGGUUGGCUUUCAUAUUGCUGGAGGCCCAAAGUAUCCAUGGAGUUAAGCAACCAGAAGGAUUUCUCAGAAGUCAGAGGGCAGAAGGAUUUAAACCUGCACACUCAUAAAAGGGUCCCUUGGAUGGGUGUCUAGGAGAACAAGGAGAAUAUGUACUUGGCUCCUUGCACUGAUCACCCCUUCCUGAAGAGGAGAGUAAAAACAAAAAUCAGCAUCGGCUUGUGUGUGUCAUGAAAUUCUGAAGCAGCUGUUACGACUCUUUCUCCUUGUUAAUAGGGAAGAGUCCUACUCUGUGAGCUGAGUUUCAGAUAAUGAAUGUGUUUCGCUACACACUACAUCAGAGAUCCUUUGUUCCAGAGAGCAGGUUUAGCCACAAAAAGGUUUUCAGUCUAAUUUCUAUAAAGUAUUGAACCGAGGAUGUAAGCAUGUCCCUCUUCAGACUGGGUUUUAGGAAGCGUUGAGCCCAAUGGACGGCAAGCCCCCACUUCUCAUGUAAAUACCUUUUUAGAGAAGUGUUCUUGUGGAAGGGAGAGCAGCACCACAAGAGACCUUGGGCUCCAUCGGAAACAGAGUGCUGUGGGAUCAGCACUGCUAAGUCAGCUGCUACGCAGUCCCCUGUUCAGUUCCUCAGGAUUCGUCUCAUGGAAUAAGCAGUUGUAAGUGGAGGACCUGGGAGUUCCCAUUGUGGCGCAGUGGACAUGAAGCCAACUAAUAUCUAUAAGAAUGCGGGUUCGAUCCCUGGCUUUGCUCAGUGGGUUGGGGAUCUGGCAUUGCUGUGAGCUGUGGUGUAGGCCACAGACACAGUUUGGAUCCUGCCUUGGUGUCGCCGUGGCGUAGGCUGGCAACUGCAGCUUGGAUGAGACCCCUAGCCUGAAAACUUCCAUAUGCCGUAGGCACGGCCCUAAAAAAAAGCAAAACAAAACAAGACAAACCAAUCAUGUUGCUGUGUACUAAAUUGUGUCCCACAAAAAAGGUAUGUUGAAGCCCUAACCCCAGAAAACCUGUGGACUUGAAUUUAUUUGGGUAGAGGGCUUUUACAGAUGUCAUCAAGUGAAGACAACAUCAGAGCGGAUUGGGGUGCGCCUGUUCUGACUGUUGUAGGAACUCGGUGAACAAGGGAGUAAGUCACGCAAAAACUGAGGCAGUCGUUGGAAUCAGCUGUGAGCCAAGGAAUGCCGAGGACUGCCGACAAUUAUCAGAAGCUAGGAAGAGGCAAGGAGACAUCCUCCUCUAGAGCCUUCAGAGAGCCUGGCCUUACCAGCGCUUAAAUUUUGGACUUCAGAUGUCCUGGACUGGGAGAGAACAACUUUCUGUUAUUUUGAGCCACCCAGCUUGUACUAGUUUGUUACAGCAGCCCUAGGACAUUUAAGACAAAGUCAAGAUUGUAGCUCCAUUUCUAGCUACAAUCGUCCCCUAGGGGAUGCCUAACCUUCAGAGGAAGCUGCAUGGAAUCAAGAUUUGGAGGGAACUGUGUACAGUCCCUUGGGUUAAAAUAUGAUGGAAGAUUGAGAAAAAAAAGAAUGUGUAUAUAUAUGUGCAUAUAUGUAUGUGUACACAUACACACACACGUAUGAAUAUACGCAGAUGUGGCUGGGUCACCUCACCAUGCAGCAGAAAUGGAAGGAACAUUGUAAAUCAACUGCACUUAAUAAAA